GACAGUAUGGUGUAGUGGUUUGAGCAUUAGACUAUGACUCUGGAGAUGUGGGUUUGAAUCCCUACUUGGCCA